GUUUCCUAGUGUCAAGAACAAGCAUCAUAUGUACUAAAUGAUUAUUUUCCAUGUUAUUCUCAUAUCUUAUUUUUAUGUUGUUUUAAACACCGAAUCUCGACUCUAAACAUACUUGAACUUUAACCCUUAUACAUUCGGACUCUAAAUCUCUACUCGUCAACAAUUGGAUAAUCGGAAAGCAUAUGCAAACUUUGUUGAUGAUGACGAUGCUAUGAAAAGAAGUAGCGUU
rnacentral:lncRNA from 1 species